GUUUGCAUCCAAGAGAGGGGAGGACAGGGGCAAAAGGAUGCAGGGAGGCUGCUGAUUUCCACUGGAGAGCUAAUUUCCUGUGAGAUAUUAACCGUGAUUUAAGAAAAAAAUUCCUGUAACUGGUAAGGAAACUGAGGUAUACAAGGAUGAACUUUUGCAAGGCUACAAAUCUAGUUAAUGGUGAAGCUAACAUUCAGACCCAAGUGGUUCAGCUCUAGACUUUGUCUCAGUUUCUGAAUUGAACUCUCUGUGCACUUACCAUGUGUCAUACCAGCUCUCAGUACAUAGUGUCCCAAAAGAUUGGGCCUGCUCUUUCUUUCAGAGACAAUUAGGAAAAAAGUAAACAAAUGGAGCAGGAUUUGGGCAUAACAGCAUGCUCCUCCCAUCCCCCAAAUCCCAGGAGUGUCACUGAGUAAUGUCUUACAAUAACAGAAUGCAGGAGAGCACAUAUCAAUGAAGAAAAGACAAAAUGUAUUUAUCCAUGAAGCUGAGGUUAAGAAACCAGUGUCUUCAAGAGCCGGGGACAGCACUGGGUCUGUGCAGAGUUGAGAGAUGGUGAUGACAUGUGGUUUCCAGCAUUCCUGGCCCAGUCCAGGGACACUGUGGGUGUGCCCAGCUUAAGUCCAGUAACUGGAAAUACAAGCCCAAGUUCUGGAGAGUUUGAGCUGCAG
rnacentral:antisense_RNA from 1 species